GACGAACGCUGGCGGCGUGCCUAAUACAUGCAAGUCGAACGACGAGACUUUAACUGAUGCUUGCAUCGACCAAAGGAUCGGAGUGGCGAACGGGUGAGUAACACGUGGGUAACCUGCCUAUCAGAGGGGGAUAACACUUGGAAACAGGUGCUAAUACCGCAUAAUUCCUUUUACCGCAUGGUAAAAGGCUGAAAGGCGCUUCUGGUGUCACUGAUGGAUGGACCCGCGGUGCAUUAGCUAGUCGGUGGGGUAACGGCCUACCGAGGCGAUGAUGCAUAGCCGACCUGAGAGGGUGAUCGGCCACAUUGGGACUGAGACAUGGCCCAAACUCCUACGGGAGGCAGCAGUAGGGAAUCUUCGGCAAUGGACGAAAGUCUGACCGAGCAACGCCGCGUGAGUGAAGAAGGUUUUCGGAUCGUAAAACUCUGUUGUUAGAGAAGAACAGGAGGAGUAGUAACUGGCUUCUUUUUGACGGUAUCUAACCAGAAAGCCACGGCUAACUACGUGCCAGCCGCCGCAGUAACAC
rnacentral:rRNA from 1 species